AAGACUAUACUCUUAUGGAUCAUUUCUAUAGUGUUUUCCUAGAGAAAUGGGUUCUUGAGAGUUAGGCUUCACCAACCAUGAGGAGGAUUUAUAGUGUUCUCUUCUGAGCAGGAAGUUGGUAGUGAGUGUUGCUUUUAGCAGUUGCUCAUUGCCAUUGAUGAUUGUUCCUUCUCUCUUGUGUGUAGAGUUGGAGGAAGAGAGCACAGUCUGAGUGGU